rnacentral:rRNA from 1 species
AUAACCCCGGGAAACCGGAGCUAAUACCGAAUGAGACCACGAUGACUUCGGUCGAUGUGGGAAAAGGUGGCCCCUUCUUGAAAGCUACCGCCGAAGGAUGAGCCCGCGUUUGAUUAGCUUGUUGGUGAGGUAAAAGCUCACCAAGGCUCCGAUCAAUAGCUGGUCUGAGAGGACGAUCAGCCACACUGGAACUGAGACACGGUCCAGACUCCUACGGGAGGCAGCAGUCGGGAAUAUUGGGCAAUGGGCGAAAGCCUGACCCAGCAACGCCGCGUGAAGGAUGAAGGCCUUCGGGUCGUAAACUUCUGUCGAGAGGGAAGAAUUGCGUACGGUUAAUAUCCGUGCGUUUGACGGUACCUCCAAAGGAAGCACCGGCUAACUCCGUGCCAGCAGCCGCGGUAAUACGGAGGGUGCAAGCGUUGUUCGGAUUUAUUGGGCGUAAAGCGAGUGUAGGCGGUUUGGCAAGUCGAGUGUGAAAGCCCAGGGCCCAACCCUGGAACUGCAUCCGAUACUGCCAGGCUAGAGUCCCGGAGAGGAUGGCGGAAUUCCCGGUGUAGGGGUGAAAUCCGUAGAUAUCGGGAGGAACACCAGUGGCGGAGGCGGCCAUCUGGACGGUGACUGACGCUCAGACUCGAAAGUGUGGGUAGCAAACAGGAUUAGAUACCCUGGUAGUCCACACCGUAAACGGUGAGAGCUCGUCGUAGUGGGUAUUGACCCCUGCUGUGACCAAGUUAACGCAUGAAGCUCUCCGCCUGGGAAGUACGGUCGCAAGACUAAAACUCAAAGAAAUUGACGGGGGCCCGCACAAGCGGUGGAGCAUGUUGUUUAAUUCGAAGCAACGCGCAGAAUCUUACCUGGAUUUGACAUCUCGGGAAUCUCUCUGAAAGGAGAGAGUGCCUUCGGGAACCCGAUGACAGGUGCUGCAUGGCUGUCGUCAGCUCGUGUCGUGAGGUGUUGGGUUAAGUCCCGCAACGAGCGCAACCCCUAUCGUUAGUUGCUAGCAGUUCGGCUGAGCACUCUAGCGAGACUGCCGGUGUUAAACCGGAGGAAGGUGGGGACGACGUCAAGUCCUCAUGGCCUUUAUGUCCAGGGCUACUAACGUGCUACAAUGGUCGGUACAGACGGUCGCGAACCUGCGAAGGUAAGCCUAUCCUACAAAGCCGGCCUCAGUUCGGAUUGAAGUCUGCAAUUCGACUUCAUGAA